rnacentral:lncRNA from 1 species
GAGAAGAAUGUGCAUUUUGCUGUUGUUGGAUGGAAUAUUCUAUGUGUCAAUUAGAUGAAGUAGAUUGAUAGUGCUGUUUAGGUCAUGUAUUUCCUAAUUUUUGACUGUUAGUAAUCCCAUUUUUUGAACUUCUCUAUUCUCCUUCCUUAUAUUGUAUAUAUUCUUACUUUGGUUAUAUGUCUAAAGACAACUUUCCUUCCCCCUCCCUCGACCCCUGUUGUGAAUAAUUUCAGCUUCCUCUAGAACUCUUUGCACCAUAGUGCACUUAGGGGGUGAUGUUCACAUAGAAGAUGAAAAGUUACUGAUGGACUGAAAUGUACUAGGGUGAUCCCUUCAAAUCAGCAAGGAAGCUGAGGUAUUCUAGCACACCCCAGGAGUGCUGGUUUGAAAGGCUGGCUGGUGUCUAGCAAUGGUCUCUGGGAAUUUUAUUACCAGAGACUUGUAUUGGUUCUUCUAAAACAUGGUCAUUGUAGUAGCUUCCUAGGGCUGCCAUAACAAAGCACCACAAAGAGGGUGGCUUAAAACAACAGAAAUGUAUUCUUUCAUCGUUCAGAAGGCUAGAAAUCCAAAAGUCCAAAGUCUAAGCCAAAACAAGCAUUCUCUGUCCAAGGGCUUUAGGGAAAUAUAUUUCCUCACUUCUUUUAGCUUCCAGCGAUUGCAAUCUCUGGUGCACCUUGGCUUAUAGCAGCUGCAUUACUCCAAUCUCUGCCUCUGUUGUCACGUGUCAUGUACUGCCUCCUCCCUGUGUGUCUCCUCUGUGUCUCUGUGUCUGCCAUGGCCUCCCUUUAAAGACACCAGGAAAUGGAUUUAGGGUCCACCUUGACACUACUGAACCCGGUAGAGUCCUCUUACUGGGUAACAAAAAUUGUCAUGUAGAAACAUUUUAUUGUGGUCUCUAACUUCUCGGGGAGUUCCCUAAAAACGUUUCCAGAAUCCACAGGAAAUUCACACAGACAGAGAAGCUGAAAGCCAAAGCUGACACUCAGCGUCCUCACCGUGUUGCGUAGCCAGUUUAUCCCUUCCAGUUUUACAUAUCCCCAGUCACCACCCCUAAGUGGAACAUAGCAUACAAAUCUUUCAGCUUUCCAUAGACCCCAUUUUCUCACCAGAAAUUAUGUUCUUUGGGUGGGGAAGCAUUCUUAUUUAAUCUACUAACCCAGACCAGAAUGUGAUAAGAAAUACUGUUACUCUUGUAAGAGUAAUAGAAAUGAAUAAAAAUGCAUUUUAAAAGGCACCUUCUGGAGCUGCAUUCACUUGAAUCAAAGGCUGACCCUGCAGGGUUGGCACGGCAGCAGCUGCUAGAGGAGCGGUUCUGGAGCAAAUGGGCAUAUUCCCCUUUCUGACCCUGCCAAAUAUAAGACCUUCAGCCUACUCCAUCCAAGGCAUCCAUCUGUCUUCAGAAGAGAUUAGAAUUUUGUUCUGAAGCCAUGCAAAGAGUAAGACCAAGUGCUAACAUCCAAUUUGCAUGUGCCGGGAGAGAAAAUUCUUCAUGGAUCUCUGGUGCUCCUACACAUCUCACUGAUGGAGUAACUGGGGCCAAGGGAGAUUACCAACUUGCCCAAGAUGUCAACAUUAGUAAGAGAAAGAGCCAAAUUUCAAACUCAGGUAAAACUUCCACAUGGCCUGGACAAGACCUCGGAGGUGAUAAAAAUCUUGUAUGACCCUGGGAUUCUCAGAUUUGAAAUCAGAAGGCUCGCUAUUUCAGAAUAAACACAAAGCUAAUAUAGAUAUAGUUGAAAAUUUACAGCCCAAACUUAGACUUAGUUUUGCUUAGCAACUGGACCAAAAUA